UACGAAGGGGGCUAGCGUUGUUCGGAAUUACUGGGCGUAAAGCGCACGUAGGCGGAUAUUUAAGUCAGGGGUGAAAUCCCAGAGCUCAACUCUGGAACUGCCUUUGAUACUGGGUAUCUAGAGUAUGGAAGAGGUGAGUGGAAUUCCGAGUGUAGAGGUGAAAUUCGUAGAUAUUCGGAGGAACACCAGUGGCGAAGGCGGCUCUCUGGGACGGUACUGACGGCUGAGACGGCGAAAGCGUGGGGAGCAAACAGG
rnacentral:rRNA from 1 species